UUUAGCAAGGGACAGCGGAGAUCAUUUUAAAAUAUUAGAAGAAUUUGUAGGAUGAGGGUGAUGAGGUGGUGAGGGCGGCGUCACUCGUCCACUCUCACCGCUGCUGCUUCUCUGACGACAUCACUCUGCACGCUCCUCACACCUACGCUCUAAUAUUGAUGUGUGGUGCAGAGAAGUUAUGAGAACUAGGGGAAGCCAUUUUAAAAGUUUGAGCAAAAUGUUUCUGAAAUGGGUCUCUUCUAAGUGCUGUACUGUUCUGAGUUUGUCCCUGUCUGGGAUGUGCAAGGAUGGUUGAAGAAUCAUUAAGACCCCCUAGUGCAGAAACUAGAUAAUAAACUGCUUGGAUAAACAAGGCUGCUGCUCUUCCUUAGAGACCCUAAAACCAUCCUGCAUAUUAAAAAGGUAAUUGGUAUAGCCCUUGCAAAAAAGUAGCUUAUAACAAUGAUUGAUGAUGAUCUUCAAAUUUAUUAGGAGGGUGAAGUUGGAGCAUGGAAUCUGGUCAUUCAACCCUGAUUGCCUCUUACACCAAAGUGUGAUGUGAGGGUUUAGUGCCCUCACUUCAAAUCCACACUUCUAGUUUGGAAGGGAAAUCUGCAUGGAAUCUGGUCAUUCAACCCUGAUUGCCUCCUACACCAAAGUGUGAUGUGAGGGUUUAGUGCCCUGAGCAACAUCUUUUAGGGUUGCUGAAGCUUCAAAUCCACACUUCUAAUUUGGGAAGAAGGGUAGAGCAUGGAAUCCCAUUGGACAACCCAAUGGUUGGUUCAACCUUGAUUACCUCUUAACCUCCCAGAAUGUGAUAUAAGGAUUUAGCAACCCCCUGCUUGAUAAUCUUUCAGGCUUUGAAAAAUCUUCAGAUUAACAUUUCUGCUGUGGCAAGCAGUACCAAGCUUUACAAUGUUAAAGCUCCUAUCAAACAUUAAGGAAGGCCCUAGACAAGGAGCUGAUAAAGGAAUGUUCUUCCCUCGAUUGGACCCAAUAGCCUCUCAUGCCUUAGGUAAGAGGCGGUUCUGAGCUUUACGUUUAUCAAUCUGGUUUCAUCCCAUCUUCUAAUCUUCCAGAGUUUUUAAUGUAAAAAAAUUUAAAUAAAAUGUCUACUGUA